AGCGAACGCUGGCGGCAGGCUUAACACAUGCAAGUCGAACGCCCCGCAAGGGGAGUGGCAGACGGGUGAGUAACACGUGGGAACGUACCCUUUGGUUCGGACUAACUUGGGGAAACUCAAGCUAAUACCGGAUAAGCCCUUAUGGGGAAAGGUUUACUGCCGAAGGAUCGGCCCGCGUCUGAUUAGCUAGUUGGUGAGGUAAUGGCUCACCAAGGCGACGAUCAGUAGCUGGUCUGAGAGGAUGAUCAGCCACACUGGGACUGAGACACGGCCCAGACUCCUACGGGAGGCAGCAGUGGGGAAUAUUGGACAAUGGGGGCAACCCUGAUCCAGCCAUGCCGCGUGAGUGAUGAAGGCCUUAGGGUUGUAAAGCUCCUUUACCCGGGACGAUAAUGACUGUACCGGGAGAAUAAGCCCCGGCUAACUUCGUGCCAGCCGCCGCAGUAA
rnacentral:rRNA from 1 species